UGGGGCGUAGCCAAGCGGUAAGGCAACGGGUUCUGGUUCCGUGAUCCCUGGUUCGAAUCCAGGCGCCCCAGCCA
rnacentral:tRNA from 1 species